CACGUAGGGCGCAAGCGUUGUCCGGAAUUAUUGGGCGUAAAGAGCUCGUAGGCGGUCUGUUACGUCUGCUGUGAAAACCCAGGGCUUAACCCUGGGCUUGCAGUGGAUACGGGCAGACUAGAGGCAGGUAGGGGAGAAUGGAAUUCCCGGUGUAGCGGUGAAAUGCGCAGAUAUCGGGAGGAACACCGGUGGCGAAGGCGGUUCUCUGGGCCGAAACUGACGCUGAGGAGCGAAAGCGUGGGGAGCGAACAGG
rnacentral:rRNA from 1 species